UACGUAGGGUGCGAGCGUUGUCCGGAAUUAUUGGGCGUAAAGGGCUCGUAGGCGGUUUGUCGCGUCGGGAGUGAAAUCCACUGGCUUAACUGGUGGCUUGCUUUCGAUACGGGCAGACUGGAGGCAUGCAGGGGAGAACGGAAUUCCUGGUGUAGCGGUGAAAUGCGCAGAUAUCAGGAGGAACACCGGUGGCGAAGGCGGUUCUCUGGGCAUGUCCUGACGUGAGGAGCGAAAGUGUGGGGGAGCGAACAGG
rnacentral:rRNA from 1 species